rnacentral:rRNA from 1 species
AAAAGUGAAAGACGGUCUUGCUGUCACUUAUAGAUGGAUCCGCGCUGCAUUAGCUAGUUGGUAAGGUAACGGCUUACCAAGGCAACGAUGCAUAGCCGACCUGAGAGGGUGAUCGGCCACACUGGAACUGAGACACGGUCCAGACUCCUACGGGAGGCAGCAGUAGGGAAUCUUCCGCAAUGGGCGAAAGCCUGACGGAGCAACGCCGCGUGAGUGAUGAAGGUCUUCGGAUCGUAAAACUCUGUUAUUAGGGAAGAACAUAUGUGUAAGUAACUGUGCACAUCUUGACGGUACCUAAUCAGAAAGCCACGGCUAACUACGUGCCAGCAGCCGCGGUAAUACGUAGGUGGCAAGCGUUAUCCGGAAUUAUUGGGCGUAAAGCGCGCGUAGGCGGUUUUUUAAGUCUGAUGUGAAAGCCCACGGCUCAACCGUGGAGGGUCAUUGGAAACUGGAAAACUUGAGUGCAGAAGAGGAAAGUGGAAUUCCAUGUGUAGCGGUGAAAUGCGCAGAGAUAUGGAGGAACACCAGUGGCGAAGGCGACUUUCUGGUCUGUAACUGACGCUGAUGUGCGAAAGCGUGGGGAUCAAACAGGAUUAGAUACCCUGGUAGUCCACGCCGUAAACGAUGAGUGCUAAGUGUUAGGGGGUUUCCGCCCCUUAGUGCUGCAGCUAACGCA